GACGAACGCUGGCGGCGUGCUUAACACAUGCAAGUCGAACGGAAAGGCCCUGCUUUUGUGGGGUGCUCGAGUGGCGAACGGGUGAGUAACACGUGAGUAACCUGCCCUUGACUUUGGGAUAACUUCAGGAAACUGGGGCUAAUACCGGAUAGGAGCUCCUGCUGCAUGGUGGGGGUUGGAAAGUUUCGGCGGUUGGGGAUGGACUCGCGGCUUAUCAGCUUGUUGGUGGGGUAGUGGCUUACCAAGGCUUUGACGGGUAGCCGGCCUGAGAGGGUGACCGGCAACAUUGGGACUGAGAUACGGACCAGAGUCCAACGGGAGGCAGCAGUGGGGAAUAUUGCACAAUGGGCGGAAGCAUGAUGCAGCAACGCCGCGUGCGGGAUGACGGCCUUCGGGUUGUAAACCGAUUUAGACUGUGACGAAGCGUGAGUGACGGUAAUGGGUAAAGAAGCACCGGCUAACUACGUG
rnacentral:rRNA from 1 species